rnacentral:rRNA from 1 species
AGCCCAGCACCGAAUCCUUCACCAUCUCGGUGACAGGAAAUGUGGUGUUUAGGCCGUACCUUGUCCCGACACGUCUCUCCUCAAGUCCACUUGAUUGUGGCCCCAGGCCCAGAGAGGGUGUAAGGCCCGUGGAGGCGAGACGUUCGGUACCUGGUGCGUCCUUAGAGUCGGGUUGUUUGGGAAUGCAGCCCUAAGCGGGUGGUAAACUCCAUCCAAGGCUAAAUACCAGCACGAGUCCGAUAGCGAAGAAGUACCGCGAGGGAAGGUUGAAAAGAACUUUGAAGAGAGAGUUCAAGAGUACGUGAAACCGCUGAGAGGCAAACUGGUGGAACUGAAAUGGUCCCGAGGAAUUCAGCCGUUGGUCGUUGCACAGUCUUUGGUGAUUGAUCUAACGACGGCGCCAUUGAAUGACGUUUCGAUCAUCGGUGCACUUUCCUCGCCUGGGCCCGACCACGACCGGUGAGCUGAUCUGUCUGUCGUGCUUGGAAGAUAGCGCCGUCUUCGGAAGGCGUGUUAUAGACAGGCAUACGGAGCAGUCGGCGCACUGGAUGAUAGUGCCUGCCCAUCUGGGCUCAUAUGGUGGUUGUUUUGUUGGCGAGUUCUGAUGUCACUACUUCGGUAGAGUCGUUAGACUCUGUUGGCAUUAUGGCUGUCCUCUAUGAUUGGCACUGUUAAGUCUGUGGUUGUGAAGUAGGUAGUCCACCUGACCCGUCUUGAAACACGGACCAAGGAGUCUAACAUGUGCGCGAGUCAUUGGGUUCACGAAACCUAAAGGCGCAGUGAAGGUAAAGAUCUGUUUUGGCAGAUUGAGGUGGGAUGCCGGGUUACGCGCCCGGCCGCACUACCGGCCCGUUCUAUAUGUCUUUCAUAGGAGCGGAGCAAGAGCGUACACGUUGGGACCCGAAAGAUGGUGAACUAUGCUUGCGCAGGUCGAAGCCAGA